rnacentral:rRNA from 1 species
GACGAACCGUCCUAACGUUGUUCGGAAUCACUGGGCUUAAAGGGCGCGUAGGCGGGUGACCAAGUCCGGGGUGAAAUCUUUCGGCUUAACCGGAAAACAGCCUUGGAUACUGGUCAUCUCGAGGGAGGUAGGGGUCUGCGGAACUUCUGGUGGAGCGGUGAAAUGCGUUGAUAUCAGGAGGAACACCGGUGGCGAAGGCGGGUCUCUGGGCCGAUACUGACGCUGAGGAGCGAAGGCGUGGGGAGCGAACGGG